AAAUGGAAAAAGGGUAACUGAGAUGAGGAAUAUUUCAUUUGCUCACAGCUUCUGAAAACAUUUUCUCAAGUGUGUAAUAGUAGUUGCCAUAUUUCACUUGCAAGCAGCUGCAAUAAAAUCUUGCCUAUUUGGUUGGACUGACUCUUCACAACGAAUGACCGCAGAUUCCCACAGGGGUAUUACACCGACUCAGAAGCUCACGAAACUCAACUCUGCUUUUAGCACCUUGUAAAGAUGGAUCCCAUCAUUCUGCAGAUCACAUUUCAGUCAUCACAGCAAUAAAAUCAAAUGAAUUGCCUUUGUGCAAGCUUUUACUUGAUUUCAAAUACCCAGAGGGUAGGUGAGGUUACAGAUCAAAUUAUGUGAAUACAGCAGCCAGCAGGCUACCCAAUCCCAUCUUAAUGAGCCCUUCAUCACAUGGCAGAAGAAAUCCUUUAUUGAUCGUCUAUGUCCCACUUUGACACAGCAAUGAAGGGACUGGACC